rnacentral:rRNA from 1 species
GAUGAACGCUGGCGGCGUGCCUAAUACAUGCAAGUCGAGCGAAUGGAUUAAGAGCUUGCUCUUAUGAAGUUAGCGGCGGACGGGUGAGCAACACGUGGGUAACCUGCCCAUAAGACUGGGAUAACUCCGGGAAACCGGGGCUAAUACCGGAUAACAUUUUGAACCGCAUGGUUCGAAAUUGAAAGGCGGCUUCGGCUGUCACUUAUGGAUGGACCCGCGUCGCAUUAGCUAGUUGGUGAGGUAACGGCUCACCAAGGCAACGAUGCGUAGCCGACCUGAGAGGGUGAUCGGCCACACUGGGACUGAGACACGGCCCAGACUCCUACGGGAGGCAGCAGUAGGGAAUCUUCCGCAAUGGACGAAAGUCUGACGGAGCAGCGCCGCGUGAGUGGUGAAGGCUUUCGGGUCGUAAAACUCUGUUGUUAGGGAAGAACAAGUGCUAGUUGAAUAAGCUGGCACCUUGACGGUACCUAACCAGAAAGCCACGGCUAACUACGUGCCAGCCGCCGCCUAA